GCACCGGUAGCUCAGGGGUUAGAGUAUGGGAUUGCAGAUCCUAGGGUCGGGCGUUCAAAUCGCCCUCGGUGCU
rfam:Penicillium subrubescens strain CBS 132785 PENSTBscaffold_251, whole genome shotgun sequence.